rnacentral:rRNA from 1 species
GACGUAGGGCGCGAGCGUUGUCCGGAUUUAUUGGGCGUAAAGAGCUCGUAGGCGGCUUGUCGCGUCGACUGUGAAAACCCGCGGCUUAACUGUGGGACUGCAGUCGAUACGGGCUAGCUAGAGUUCGGUAGGGGAGACUGGAAUUCCUGGUGUAGCGGUGAAAUGCGCAGAUAUCAGGAGGAACACCGGUGGCGAAGGCGGGUCUCUGGGCCGAUACUGACGCUGAGGAGCGAAAGCGUGGGGAGCGAACAGG